rnacentral:rRNA from 1 species
UACAGAGGGGGCAAGCGUUGUUCGGAAUUACUGGGCGUAAAGGGCGCGUAGGCGGCCGCCUAAGUCAGACGUGAAAUCCCUCGGCUCAACCGGGGAACUGCGUCCGAUACUGGAGGGCUUGAGUGUGGGAGAGGGAUGCGGAAUUCCAGGUGUAGCGGUGAAAUGCGUAGAUAUCAGGAAGAACACCCGUGGCGAAGGCGGCUCUCUGGGACGGUACUGACGCUGAGACGCGAAAGCGUGGGGAGCGAACAGG